rnacentral:rRNA from 1 species
GCUAGCCGAUACAGAUAAGGAGCUUGCUCCUUUGACGUUAGCGGCGGACGGGUGAGUAACACGUGGAUAACCUACCUAUAAGACUGGGAUAACUUCGGGAAACCGGAGCUAAUACCGGAUAACAUAUUGAACCGCAUGGUUCAAUAGUGAAAGGCGGCUUUGCUGUCACUUAUAGAUGGAUCCGCGCCGUAUUAGCUAGUUGGUAAGGUAACGGCUUACCAAGGCAACGAUACGUAGCCGACCUGAGAGGGUGAUCGGCCACACUGGAACUGAGACACGGUCCAGACUCCUACGGGAGGCAGCAGUAGGGAAUCUUCCGCAAUGGGCGAAAGCCUGACGGAGCAACGCCGCGUGAGUGAUGAAGGUCUUCGGAUCGUAAAACUCUGUUAUCAGGGAAGAACAAAUGUGUAAGUAACUGUGCACAUCUUGACGGUACCUGAUCAGAAAGCCACGGCUAACUACGUGCCAGCAGCCGCGGUAAUACGUAGGUGGCAAGCGUUAUCCGGAAUUAUUGGGCGUAAAGCGCGCGUAGGCGGUUUUUUAAGUCUGAUGUGAAAGCCCACGCUCACCCGUGGAGGGUCAUUGGAAACUGGAAACUUGAGUGCAGAAGAGAAAGUGGAAUUC